UUCAAGGGCUUCUGCCGUGCUUGGCAGAGGAGGGGUGGGGAUAACCACUCCUUAUGUGGAAUCGCUAUCAAGGGAUUUCGGAAGCACAAUUAUUAUAUUUUUUCACCUCCUAGGCCCUGCUGUGGUGCCC